AUAAUCAUAUAAUAUAAUUAGUAUCAUUAAUGGUCUAUCUCAAUAAGUCAUGUCAGUAUACUGAAAUCACAAAGACUAAUGUUAUGUAUUUUUUGUCAAUUUCAAAAAGGUAAUUGAUGUUAUUUGAAUCUCAAAUAAUUUCGAUGUA